CAGUCGCCGCGGUAAAACCGAGGAUGCAAGCGUUAUCCGGAAUUAUUGGGCGUAAAGGGCUCGCAGGCGGUUUCUUAAGUCUGAUGUGAAAGCCCCCGGCUCAACCGGGGAGGGUCAUUGGAAACUGGGAAACUUGAGUGCAGAAGAGGAGAGUGGAAUUCCACGUGUAGCGGUGAAAUGCGUAGAGAUGUGGAGGAACACCAGUGGCGAAGGCGACUCUCUGGUCUGUAACUGACGCUGAGGAGCGAAAGCGUGGGGAGCGAACAGGAUUAGAUACCCGAGUAGUCCCUGUCUCUUAUAC
rnacentral:rRNA from 1 species